rnacentral:lncRNA from 12 species
ACACUGAGACAGCUUCCUCUUUUCAUGGAAUUACCUAUUCAUCACUUCCUCCUCCUUUAGUGAAAUUCAACUGUCACUAACUCGUGGAGGACUCAUUCCCAGGCUUUGUCUCAUGUAACAACGUUGUGGCCCUGCCUUCAAAGAAACUGUGCUGCUUGAUUGUCCAGCAGUUGCCCAGCAAUUUGGUAAGGCUCUUGUGAAAAGCAGAGCCCACAGACCAUAUGGCAGGCUGUCUCAAGAAGGUGGGAUGCCAACAUGUGAGGGCUGUUCUCAAACCCUCAGCCAGCCUUUGAGGGGGUACAACAGAUGUGUUCUUGUUUUCUCUGCACACAAAGGUACAUUCUGAUGAUAAAGCAAAGCACCAACAUGGAAAAAUCACCUACCUAUUUUAAGGCUUAGAAUUUAGCAGUCUCUGUGGCAGGGCUGGUUGGGAAAAUGGCUGGGGAACACUCCCAGGUUCUCCAAAAAAAACUGCUACCCAAAUACCUUGUACUGGUGAUGUUAUGAAUAUACUACAUCUGCUUCACUGGCUUAUAGUCUAAAUUCCCCACCUCUUUGAUUAAUGAUUGCUUACUUAACAGAUAUGUGUUACCGCUCAGAACACCAGGAAGUAAGGGGGGUCCAGCAUUGAUCAAGGCUCAUCUUGGACCUCAGCAAACAUGGGCAUGGGGCCUGAGGUGUGGACCCGCUGACGUAUGCAGGGCCCUUGAGAGCCUUCCUCCUUGUCCUGGACCUGUUGGGAGAGCCCUGAGCAGCAGAGCCUGCUGGUGGUGUUUCCAGGCAAAUGGGCCCUUGGGAGACUUGAAUGUUGUCAUCUGGUAAAUAUGGGGUCAGAGCAGAUCCAUCCCUCACAGACAUCAGGUGAACAUCUCUUCAUUCUCCAGGUAAAUUUACCAAAGAGCUCUGCAUGUGGCUUUGGGUACAAGCUCAACUAUUAAUAAAAU